AGAAGACAACAAAAGUCCAUGAAGAACAGGGCACUUCUCAGCAACCCUCAAGGAAGCAAUUGAACUAAAGCUUGAAAACCAUGGGGUCACUGAGAGAAGGAGCCUGAAGAGAGAAAAGGAUGAAGGACCCAAAAAAGACUAACAUUUAACAGAUGGGAUGUGAAACAGAACCAGAGGAUGCGGCUAUAAAACGCCAUCUUGGAAGCGAGACUGGGCUCUCAGCAGACACCAAACCUUCAUCUGGGACUUCCCAGCCUCCAGAACUGUACAGAUAAAGAUGAAACAUCCAAUUGCAGAUAUGAAUGACCUAAUUCAAUGGAUGAGUCUGGAAGAGGACCAAGUUCAUGGGAAAGAUCAAAAAUUCAGUUUUGAAGAUGUUGAUGAGAAGAUGAGACAAAACCAUGUAUAGAUGCGGAUGAGCUAAUUAAAUAUAUGAGUCUGGAGCUGAAAGGAAAUGCCUUGACAAGAGAAGUAAAUUUGAGGACCAUCAGUAUACAGAUGUACUUGAAUCCAUCUAUGUAAAUGCAAUCACCCUGGGAGGAAAUUUAGAGUGAGAACAGGACUGCGUGGAAAGACAUUAAAGAAGUUAAAGAAAGAAGAACUAACAAAGGCAGGAGAGAAGAAGAGGACGGAGAGGUAGGAGAGAAACCAGUAAUGUGCGAUGGCAUAGAAAUUAAGGAAGUUUCCAAGAUUGAAGAAGGAGGGAGAGAGGGCUAUGGAAGUCACAGGUUGGAGGUGGUGCCCAGAGCCUGGAAUAAACAUUUACCCUAGUGUUCAUCAGAGAGUGAAUGAGGCCUGGGAAUCCAAGACUUGCCAAAGAUUAUUCUGCCUGGAACAGGUCAAAAUACAGCAAAGGAUAUGAAGGGACACUACAAGAUGGGAAAAUGGGUGCCUCAUUGUUAACUGAUGUGGACAGAUGAUGGGUAACCACAUAAUCUUCUCUACGUCAUUUUUGAUACUACCAAAAAUUCUGGGUUCUUGGCAUCAUAGCAAAACUCAGAUGUAGAGAGAAGCCCCACAAUUAGAUGAAGUAAAAUUUUCCUACUUGAAGUUGAAUUUCACUGAAGUGAAAUCAGGUCACAGAGUCUAAAAUUAAGUUGAUCUAGGAAAACUGAAAAAAAGAGUAUUUAUUCCACAGUUGAAGUGUAGAAAGGAAUUAAUCUAUGCUAUAAUAGUAAUAGUUAAAAUUUAUUGAACUUUUACUAUAUGACAAGAACUUUGAUAAUAUGUUUAUUUGCAUUGACUAGUUCAUUUAAUUCUGACAGAACUUUUUAAUAUACUUAUACAUCACUUAACAAUGAAGACACAUUCUUAGAAAUGCACUUUUAGGUAAUUGUGCCCUUGUGUGAACAUCAUAGAGUGUACAUACACAAACCUAGAUGAUAUUGAUAGCAACAAGAAACAGACAAGGCAGACAUGGAUGGGUCCCUGGUGAAACUCAACCUUCAAGCCAAGAACAGUCUAAAGCCUGAAAACCAAGCAACAGUUACAGAUAGAAUUCACGGACCAGAAUGAGAACUUCCAUUUCCAUCUUACCUACUCUCUCUCUAUUGGUUCUUUCUGAAUGAUGCCUUUUAGCCAAUCAAAUGCUCCCUUUUCCAAGCCCACCCAUAAAUCAAUCAGCAUGCGUUCCCCCCAUUCUAAGUUCAUAAAACCCUGGAUUCAGCCUCAUAGACGGCUACGCUCUUUGGGGUCCCCUCUUGCUGUUGAGAGCUUUUCUUUCAUUCAGUAAAUUCUACUCUGCCUUACCCUGCCUCCAGUGUCCACGUACCUUAUUACUCUUGGCCACGGGACAAGAACCCAUAACUCACUGAACUAUGGGAGCAAAAGAGCUGUAACAUUCCUGUUCACUGAGCCGUGGGCAGGAAGAGUAAAAGAGCUG
rnacentral:lncRNA from 1 species